AUGCCUUCUGAAGAGGUGUGGUACAGGCCAGAGAAGCUCAGUGCUGAUGGUGGAGGCAAAAUUACUCUGGCCAGACGCAUCUCAUCACACUUCCACAGCUGGUCCUGCACAUCCCAUAAGCACCUCAUGCACUUGUGUAAUAGAACAUCAAUAUCACUGGAAAGAAGAGCCGUUCCCAAUCGGAAUGACAAAGAGGUAGCUGUCUCCUUAAGAUACCAGGAUAUCAUCUGCAGCUUGGAGCCCGCCACGACAGUGGAUGAUCUCACAGGAACACUUCUGGGUGACAGAGGCUCCAGGGUUUCCUGGUGCCUGGCACCCAUCCACUGAGAUCGCCUGAUUCAGAGGGUUGCCUGGGAAUGCAACCCAGAGCUUGCUUGGCUAUGCUGGCCCAGGAGGAAGCACAAGAUGGGUAUCCUGGUCCUGCUCUGCUCAUUCCUUGGGAGGCAGCAGGAUAAAUGUGACAGCACCUCUUUCCCCAGUGAGAGGUAUCUGACGACACAACUUGGUAUUGUUAUCAGGAAAUACGAGUGGUGAACGCAACGCUCCCUGUUUCAUAAUCAGAGAAAGAAACAUCACUGACCCUGUCUCUGACUAAAGGACAAUGUAUUUCCUGCUUUUGGGAGUGGAAUUAAACUGACAUGGGGGAGUUCUUGACGCCUUUUUUAUUUCUGAUUAAAUAAAGUAUCCACAUGGGAGCGUGGAGCCUGUUGU
rnacentral:lncRNA from 1 species